CUAACUCAAAUCCAAUAAAUUGUUAAAAAAUUAUUGACAAAUUCAUCUUCUUUGACAAUAUUUUUUUGUUUCAUAAUCCUUUUUUUUCAAUCUAUGCUCAAUAAUCCUUCUUCUUCUUUGUUGUGUCUUGGAGCUUCACAGGCAAAACAACAACCUCAUUACUAACUCAACUUGAAUUUUUUAGAUUUAAGUCAAGCUUGCUUUAGUCCUUAUUUAGAUUUGACUUGAAUUCACCUCUGUAAGUGACUUUGGGAAGAGAAAAUCCACUAAACUUCUUCCACAAGAAAGUCCACAAAACUUUUUCAACAAAUAAUGUGAAUCUCAACAAUUUUCCUUCAAUUCCCAACGUUGCACAACUCGUUAAUCUGUUGGUUCCCGCUGCUUUGUCUAUUCAAAAACUGCCCCUUUUCUUCUUGGCCAUGGAUAUAUAUAUAAAAGGACCUCCACCAUCUGAACUGCACAGCUUUAAAUUCCCUCUUCGGUCAGUGUAUGUUGUGCAGAAAUUGGGUUUUAACAUGAGCAGCGAGAAAUCAUUUGGAAUAAUUUUAGUGAGGUGAAGUGGCCGGGCAGUUUUCUAGAAAUGAAAAUAGCUUAGAUUUUCAUGAGUCCUGUGUCACUGUCACUCAGCCAAGUUCUUGGCUUCAAACUUCUCGUUCAAUGGAAACCGUUACAUCAGAAUUGCAUAAUUUCCCUGAUAUUUUUGAGGGCUUAACGAAUAUUUCAGGUUCUGCAGCAUCUACCGGCAGUAUUAGCCUUGGAGUUAAGCUGGAGACUGCCCGUGAACAUGAUAAGGCCGAAACAAGUUGGACUGGUUCAAAAAACCUUAAGAAAUGGUUCUUUGGAAGUGCCACAGUGAUGUGAGUUCAUUGGUUUGGGGCCUGAGACUCACCUAGUGACUGGUAGAGUUUCAUAUUGACAAUUUUCUUGUAAACUAUUUUCUUCUUGGUUCAGGUUAUAGAUGCAUCAUCAGAAGAGCUGAAGAAAGAGCAAAACAAUUGCCCCAAACGAACCCGUUCAGCUGAAGUUCAUAAUAUGUCUGAGAGGGUAAGAAACUGGGAAAACAGCUUAGGGAUGGAUCUAAUCCAAACUGACUUGGAUCAAAUUUAUGGCUCAGCUCAUAUGAGUUGAUCUGAUAACACUGUCAGUGACCCUUUGGUGAUACUAUGCACCAGCUUGAAUGGGGCAAUAUGACUUCACCUUAGAUUGAAUCUACCCUUGGGAAAGCUUCAUAUACUUCUAUGGUGUCUUCUUUCUAAUCUUUCCAUUUAAAAAAAAAAAAUCAAUAUGCAUGUUUUGGUGAACAGAGGAGAAGGGACAGGAUAAACAGAAGGUUAAGAACUUUGCAGGAAUUGUUACCCAAUUGUAACAAGAUAGAGCUUCUGUGUUGGAUGAUGCUGUAAUUAUCUUAAAACCUUGAAGUCUCAAGUUGAAGUAAGAAACUAUUCCACUGUCUCACAUUACUGAAACAACUGUGCUGUACUUUUUUCCUGGUAAAAUGCAUCAGAUUAUGUCAGCCGCAAGAGAAGCUAUAUUACAAGCCUCAUUCAUGACACCAAGUGGGAUUCAAAGCUCACAAGUUUCACAGCUUUCCCAAUUUGUGCCCAUGAGGCAAGAAUUAGGAACAGGAAUGAGAAUGGGAAUGACAUAUGGGAUGUGUUAUGCUCCGAGUGUUUCGAUGGUAUUGAUUCCCUCGGCCAGCCUUCAUCCUUCAUUACUUGUAGGAUUCCCUCUCGCGUCUCUGCCUGGAAAUCUUGUGCUUCCUCUAGUUCAGGUGCCACUAAUUCGGCCACAAACGUUGCCUGCACCUGCUGAAACAUCAACCUGGAAUCUUUUUACAAGGUUUUCUUCUCCAUUUAAUUUCCAAGGCCAAAGAGAGUCUGGUUCCCAGGCAGUGCCAAUUUCUGCCAUUGAUCACAAAUAACUUCAGAUGAUAAAUGAGGUUUCAAGCACCUUCCAUGACUGAGAAUGUAGUCUCUGAAGCUUCUUAAUUUGACUCAGAUAAAGUCUCCCGUUGUUCAAGAUGGUUGAAGUUCCAGCUUCACUUACCUUAAAUUUACCUUGUUAAUUUAUUUGCGUACUUUGCUAGAUUCUUGUUCAAGCUGAAAACCUGAACAAAACCUGAUCAGUGUUCACUCCUGAAGCAGUUUGUCCUGUCAACUGUUAAAUGAAUUUGGCUAUUUUAGUCUUUUCAGUUGCUCAAUGGAAGCUCUGGAAGAGCCCAAAUUAUUUGUGAAAAAGUUCCUGGAUAGUUAUUUUGUUUUUGUACAAUUCUGCAAUGUUAUUUCCGGUUUCACAUGUAUUGUUUUCCUUUGGUGGGUGCUCUUGGAAUCCUGUCAACAACUUCAAAUUGAUAUCGCGAAACAAUAGAAUGACCCAUUA